CCGAGUUUACAACUCCCAAACCCCUGUGAACAUACCACUUGUUGCCUCGGCGGAUCAGCCCGCUCCCGGUAAAACGGGACGGCCCGCCAGAGGACCCCUAAACUCUGUUUCUAUAUGUAACUUCUGAGUAAAAGCCAUAAAUAAAUCA
rnacentral:misc_RNA from 1 species